rnacentral:lncRNA from 1 species
UGCUUCAUGGCAUUGCUUGGUUGAUGCCAGAAGAAUUAGCCAGAAACUAAGGCGUGGUAUUGUCAAGCUGAUGCUUGGACCUGAAGGGAAGGCCAACUUCAGUUGGAUAAUUAAGUGCCAAGUUAGGCAAAAUCUUGGUGGAGGAAUAUGUUCCAAGGAGCACAAAGGGGAAUGGGCAGCACUGUUGACUUUUCUAUGCUGAAAGUGUUGUGGCAUUUCUGUCUUGGUAAGUUCGGUCAAUUGCUUAUUGGUCAGGUGAAUUCAAAGAUGUGAUUUGGAUGACUCAAUUUAGAAAUGUAGGUGCUAAUGUUUGUAAAAGAAAAGCUUGUGGAUGACCAAUGACUAGUGUCAUUAUUCCAAACUAGGGGAAAGA